AAAGAAGUUUAAAUGAGAUCAUAAGGGUGGAAUUCCGAUCUGAGAAUCUGUAUCCUUAUCAGAGACCUUGUGCUUGUGAAGGCACCUUUCUCUCUCUCUCUGUCUCUCUCUCUGUCUCUCUCUCCCCCGCCCCACCACCCCACUUCUCUCUUUGUAUUUAUGCACAUACCAAAGAAAGGUCAUGGGAGGACACAGUGGGAAGGCUGACAAACUUAAGGAAGAGAUAG
rnacentral:lncRNA from 13 species